rnacentral:rRNA from 1 species
GACGAACGCUGGCGGCGUGCUUAACACAUGCAAGUCGAACGGAAAGGCCCUGCUUUUGUGGGGUGCUCGAGUGGCGAACGGGUGAGUAACACGUGAGUAACCUGCCCUUGACUUUGGGAUAACUUCAGGAAACUGGGGCUAAUACCGGAUAGGAGCUCCUGCUGCAUGGUGGGGGUUGGAAAGUUUCGGCGGUUGGGGAUGGACUCGCGGCUUAUCAGCUUGUUGGUGGGGUAGUGGCUUACCAAGGCUUUGACGGGUAGCCGGCCUGAGAGGGUGACCGGCCACAUUGGGACUGAGAUACGGCCCAGACUCCUACGGGAGGCAGCAGUGGGGAAUAUUGCACAAUGGGCGGAAGCCUGAUGCAGCAACGCCGCGUGCGGGAUGACGGCCUUCGGGUUGUAAACCGCUUUCGCCUGUGACGAAGCGUGAGUGACGGUAAUGGGUAAAGAAGCACCGGCUAACUACGUGCCAGCAGCCGCGGUGAUACGUAGGGUGCGAGCGUUGUCCGGAUUUAUUGGGCGUAAAGGGCUCGUAGGUGGUUGAUCGCGUCGGAAGUGUAAUCUUGGGGCUUAACCCUGAGCGUGCUUUCGAUACGGGUUGACUUGAGGAAGGUAGGGGAGAAUGGAAUUCCUGGUGGAGCGGUGGAAUGCGCAGAUAUCAGGAGGAACACCAGUGGCGAAGGCGGUUCUCUGGGCCUUUCCUGACGCUGAGGAGCGAAAGCGUGGGGAGCGAACAGGCUUAGAUACCCUGGUAGUCCACGCUGUAAACGGUGGGUACUAGGUGUGGGGUCCAUUCCACGGGUUCCGUGCCGUAGCUAACGCUUUAAGUACCCCGCCUGGGGAGUACGGCCGCAAGGCUAAAACUCAAAGGAAUUGACGGGGCCCCGCACAAGCGGCGGAGCAUGCGGAUUAAUUCGAUGCAACGCGUAGAACCUUACCUGGGUUUGACAUGGAUCGGGAGCGCUCAGAGAUGGGUGUGCCUCUUUUGGGGUCGGUUCACAGGUGGUGCAUGGCUGUCGUCAGCUCGUGUCGUGAGAUGUUGGGUUAAGUCCCGCAACGAGCGCAACCCUUGUUCACUGUUGCCAGCACGUUAUGGUGGGGACUCAGUGGAGACCGCCGGGGUCAACUCGGAGGAAGGUGGGGGUGACGUCAAGUCAUCAUGCCCCUUAUGUCCAGGGCUUCACGCAUGCUACAAUGGCUGGUACAGAGAGUGGCGAGCCUGUGAGGGUGAGCGAAUCUCGGAAAGCCGGUCUCAGUUCGGAUUGGGGUCUGCAACUCGACCUCAUGAAGUCGGAGUCGCUAGUAAUCGCAGAUCAGCAACGCUGCGGUGAAUACGUUCCCGGGGCU